AUCAUCAUCUCUCCUCUCUAUUUCCCAUUGAGCAGUAAGCUAUCUGUGUGAUAGUGAAUGUGUGUCUUCGGCGUUCCUGUCAGACGCUGUCGACUCGAGCAAUGUCAACAGCAGAGGCCGACCACGGCAGUGCUGAUGUUUAGCAAGCAAGAUGUUCCUCCUCUGCAACACAUAGAUGAAAAAUGCACGAGAGAAAAAGGGAAAAGACCACUUCUCUUGAAGCGCACUCCGUCUGGCAGAGAGUCAAGGGCAAGCUGCCAAGGUACUACUUUUCACUUUCCUGACAUGAGGCUGAGGCAGGAACAGGGAGGGGGGGCUGUGGGUGCGUGCGUCAGCAGGUCCGCCUGGGACUCCCUUGCCAGGAGGUGGGAAGAGCAUGUGGUUCUUAUCUUAUCUAUGGGAGGGCUGGAGCACAGCGGCCAACACUGACAUUCAGUGAGCGGCAAAGAGGGGAAAAAAGAGCGCACACCGAAAAUGAAAACGCUUUGACUUCUGUCCCACUGCUCACUUCAUUUAUUGUUUGAGCCUGUGAACCUGGAUAUGUGUGUGUCCAUAUGCAGGGCCAAAUCAGUGAUCGGGGGGUCAUGUUCCCCGCUCCACAUCUGGACUGAUGCUGAACUCUGCAGCCGCUCUCCAGAGGGGCCAUUGGGGACCCGGUAAUGAGAACCACAGAUCCUUGCGUCUUCUCCAGUGCUGUGUUCCUUUAUGAGCCUUGACACGAGGACAAGUCGUAAAGAAAUCUACAUGCAUGUGGCCUUUUCCCAUCCCCUCAGAUACCAACCCGCGACAAGCAGACGAGGGGGUCAAUGGACGCCUUGAGGAGAAUGUCAUCUGUUUCACCGCUCAGAUCGUGCACUGUGCCCUGGCACUGAUCCAGCCCUGCACAGAUCUUGAUGUGAAAAAAAAGGGUGCCUGCAUAACAAGCUAAUUUUCUUUGGCUUGAAUUUCCUGAGAGUUUAAAUAAACACUUAAGACAAAUCACAAA